UCCGGUUUGUCACCGGCAGUCUCAUUAGAGUGCCCAACUGAAUGUAGCAACUAAUGACAAGGGUUGCGCUCGUUGCGGGACUUAACCCAACACCUCACGGCACGAGCUGACGACAGCCAUGCACCACCUGUGCAGGCUCCGAAGAGCGCCCGCUUUCACGGGUUUCACCCUGCAUGUCAAGCCCAGGUAAGGUUCUUCGCGUUGCAUCGAAUUAAACCACAUGCUCCACCGCUUGUGCGGGCCCCCGUCAAUUCCUUUGAGUUUCAGCCUUGCGGCCGUACUCCCCAGGCGGGGUACUUACUGCGUUAGCGACGGCACCGGGAGGGUCGCUCCCCCCGACGCCUAGUACCCAUCGUUUACGGCGUGGACUAC
rnacentral:misc_RNA from 1 species